rnacentral:rRNA from 1 species
GUUGUAUGGUUAAGUGACUAAGCGUACACGGUGGAUGCCUUGGCAGUCAGAGGCGAUGAAGGACGUGCUACCCUGCGAAAAGGGUUGGUGAGCUGGGAUGGAGCGCUAUAGCCAACCAUGUCCGAAUGGGGAAACCCACCUAAGAUAACUUAGGUAUCGUUAAGUGAAUACAUAGCUUAACGAGGCGAACCGGGAGAACUGAAACAUCUAAGUACCCCGAGGAAAAGAAAUCAACCGAGAUUCCGUUAGUAGCGGCGAGCGAACGCGGAGCAGCCCAGAGCCUGAAUCAGUGGAUGCGUUAGUGGAACGGAUUGGAAAGUCCGGCGAUACAGGGUGAUAGCCCCGUACACGAAGACGCAUUGCUGUGAGCUCGAUGAGUAGGACGGGACACGUGGUAUCCUGUUUGAAGAUGGGGGGACCAUCCUCCAAGGCUAAAUACUCCUGACUGACCGAUAGCGAACCAGUACCGUGAGGGAAAGGCGAAAAGAACCCCUGUGAGGGGAGUGAAAUAGAACCUGAAACCGUGUACGUACAAGCAGUGGGAGCACCUUCGUGGUGUGACUGCGUACCUUUUGUAUAAUGGGUCAGCGACUUACAUUUUGUAGCGAGGUUAACCGAAUAGGGGAGCCGUAGGGAAACCGAGUCUUAAUAGGGCGAAUUAGUUGCAAGGUGUAGACCCGAAACCCGGUGAUCUAGCCAUGGGCAGGUUGAAGGUUGGGUAACACUAACUGGAGGACCGAACCGACUAAUGUUGAAAAAUUAGCGGAUGACUUGUGGCUGGGGGUGAAAGGCCAAUCAAACCGGGAGAUAGCUGGUUCUCCCCGAAAGCUAUUUAGGUAGCGCCUCGGACGAACACCUACGGGGGUAGAGCACUGUUAAGGCUAGGGGGUCAUCCCGACUUACCAACCCUUUGCAAACUCCGAAUACCGUAGAGUGCUAUCCGGGAGACACACGGCGGGUGCUAACGUCCGUCGUGAAGAGGGAAACAACCCAGACCGCCAGCUAAGGUCCCAAAGUCAUGGUUAAGUGGGAAACGAUGUGGGAAGGCUUAGACAGCUAGGAUGUUGGCUUAGAAGCAGCCAUCAUUUAAAGAAAGCGUAAUAGCUCACUAGUCGAGUCGGCCUGCGCGGAAGAUGUAACGGGGCUAAACCAUGCACCGAAGCUGCGGCAAUGACACUUAGGUGUUAUUGGGUAGGGGAGCGUUCUGUAAGCGGUUGAAGGUGUACUGUGAGGUAUGCUGGACGUAUCAGAAGUGCGAAUGCUGACAUAAGUAACGAUAAAGCGGGUGAAAAGCCCGCUCGCCGGAAGACCAAGGGUUCCUGUUCAACGUUAAUCGGAGCAGGGUGAGUCGACCCCUAAGGCGAGGCUGAAAAGCGUAGUCGAUGGGAAACGGGUUAAUAUUCCCGUACUUGUGGUAACUGCGAAGGGGGGACGGAGAAAGUUAGGCUAUCCGGGCGACGGUUGUCCCGGUUUAAGCGUGAAGGUGGAGAGACUAGGCAAAUCCGGUCUUUCAUUAACACUGAGGCGUGAUGACGAAGCACUACGGUGCUGAAGUAGCUGAUACUACGCUUCCAGGAAAAGCCUCUAAGCAUCAGGUUACCAGAAAUCGUACCCCAAACCGACACAGGUGGUCAGGUAGAGAAUACUCAGGCGCUUGAGAGAACUCGGGUGAAGGAACUAGGCAAAAUGGUGCCGUAACUUCGGGAGAAGGCACGCUGAUGGUAGGUGAAGUCCCUUGCGGAUGGAGCUGAACUCAGUCGAAGAUACCAGCUGGCUGCAACUGUUUAUUAAAAACACAGCACUGUGCAAACACGAAAGUGGACGUAUACGGUGUGACGCCUGCCCGGUGCCGGAAGGUUAAUUGAUGGGGUUAGCGAAAGCGAAGCUCUUGAUCGAAGCCCCGGUAAACGGCGGCCGUAACUAUAACGGUCCUAAGGUAGCGAAAUUCCUUGUCGGGUAAGUUCCGACCUGCACGAAUGGCGUAAUGAUGGCCAGGCUGUCUCCACCCGAGACUCAGUGAAAUUGAAAUCGCUGUGAAGAUGCAGUGUACCCGCGGCAAGACGGAAAGACCCCGUGAACCUUUACUAUAGCUUGACACUGAACAUUGAGCCUUGAUGUGUAGGAUAGGUGGGAGGCAUUGAAACGUGAACGCCAGUUUGCGUGGAGCCGACCUUGAAAUACCACCCUUUAAUGUUUGAUGUUCUAACGUUGUCCCGUAAUCCGGGAUACGGACAGUGUCUGGUGGGUAGUUUGACUGGGGCGGUCUCCUCCUAAAGAGUAACGGAGGAGCACGAAGGUUAGCUAAGCAUGGUCGGACAUCAUGCGGUUAGUGCAAAGGCAGAAGCUAGCUUAACUGCGAGACGGACAGGUCGAGCAGAUACGAAAGUAGGUCUUAGUGAUCCGGUGGUUCUGAAUGGAAGGGCCAUCGCUCAACGGAUAAAAGGUACUCCGGGGAUAACAGGCUGAUACCGCCCAAGAGUUCAUAUCGACGGCGGUGUUUGGCACCUCGAUGUCGGCUCAUCACAUCCUGGGGCUGAAGUUGGUCCCAAGGGUAUGGCUGUUCGCCAUUUAAAGUGGUACGCGAGCUGGGUUUAGAACGUCGUGAGACAGUUCGGUCCCUAUCUGUCGUGGGCGUUGGAUGAUUGAGGGGGGCUGCUCCUAGUACGAGAGGACCGGAGUGGACGCAUCUCUGGUGUUCCGGUUGUCACGCCAGUGGCAUUGCCGGGUAGCUAAAUGCGGAAGAGAUAAGCGCUGAAAGCAUCUAAGCGCGAAACUUGCCCCGAGAUGAGUCAUCCCUGAGGCUUAGAGCCUCCUAAAGGGUUGUUGGAGACUACGACGUAGAUAGGCAGGGUGUGUAAGCGUAGCGAUACGUUGAGCUAACCUGUACUAAUUGCCCGUGAGGCUUAACCAUACAACGCCAAAG